UCAAUAUUUCAUAAGAAAAAACAGAUUAUUUCCAAAAACUAUCUUUUAUGAUUUAAAAAAAUUUGAAUGAAAUGAGCAGGAAACUGUGGUAUUUCUGGUAUUGAAGUCAGUAGUAUUGAUCCUUUUGGCAAUUGGUGUUAGAUUCUGUUCCACACUCUGAAAAAAAGAAGUAAAGGUGAACAAGAGCGGGAAGUUUCUGACAAAAUUGAAAACAAUUUGGUUUGCUGGAAAUGUCUCAAGCAUUCAGGUUAAAGUCUAAAGAUAAAAAUGCAACCCAGGAGCUGGGGAAGUGAAAGCUCAUUUAGUAGACAGCAAGAAGUGGAAGCCUAUCAGAGAAGCCUCUCUGUGUUGAAGCGAGAUAUGGCCAAUAAAAUGCAUUUUAUUGAUCCGGUUCUAUUCAAUGCAAAUGCUCAUGCGCUGGAAUUAUAAAUUACAGAGGCCGAAAAGAAAGGGAAACUUGUGACAAGUUGUAGUAAGCAUAAAGAACUAAGUACAGUAAAGUUUUUGUAAUAUUUCCUAUUUCUAUUUAACAAAGUAUGAAUAGUUCCUUGAA